rnacentral:rRNA from 1 species
ACGGGUGAGUAACAUAUCGGAACGUACCGAGUAAUGGGGGAUAACUAAUCGAAAGAUUAGCUAAUACCGCAUAUUCUCUGAGGAGGAAAGCAGGGGACCUUCGGGCCUUGCGUUAUUCGAGCGGCCGAUAUCUGAUUAGCUAGUUGGUGGGGUAAAGGCCUACCAAGGCGACAAUCAAUAACGGGUCUGAGAGGAUGAUCCGCCACACUGGGACUGAGACACGGCCCACACUCCUACCGCAGGCAGCAGUGGGGAAUUUUGGACAAUGGGCGCAGGCCUGAUCCCUGAUGCCCCGUGUCUGAAGAAAGCCUUCGCCCUGUAAAGUUGUUUUGUAUUUUUGUAAAAGAACAAGAGGAAUAGCCCAAUACCCCUGUCGGACGACGGGACCUGAAAACUACGCACCGCCUAACUACGUGCCAGCAGCCGCGGUAGUACGUAGGGUGCGAGCGUUAAUCGGAAUUACUGGGCGUAAAGCAAGCGCAGACGGUUACUUAAGCAGGAUGUGAAAUCCCCGGGCUCAACCUGUGAACUGCGUUCUGAACUGGGUGACUAUAGUGUGUCAGAGGGAACUAGAAUUCCACGUGUAGCAGUGAAAUGCGUAGAGAUGUAAAGGAAUACCGAUGGCGAAGGCAGCCUCCUGGGGAUAACACUGACGUUCAUGCUCGAAAGCGAGGGGUAGCAAACAGGAUUAAGAUACCCUGGCAGUCCACGCCCUAAAAC